rnacentral:rRNA from 1 species
AGUUUGAUCAUGGCUCAGAUUGAACGCUAGCGGGAUGCCUUACACAUGCAAGUCGAACGGCAGCACGGACUUCGGUCUGGUGGCGAGUGGCGAACGGGUGAGUAAUGUAUCGGAACGUGCCUAGUAGCGGGGGAUAACUACGCGAAAGCGUAGCUAAUACCGCAUACGCCCUACGGGGGAAAGCAGGGGAUCGCAAGACCUUGCACUAUUAGAGCGGCCGAUAUCGGAUUAGCUAGUUGGUGGGGUAACGGCUCACCAAGGCGACGAUCCGUAGCUGGUUUGAGAGGACGACCAGCCACACUGGGACUGAGACACGGCCCAGACUCCUACGGGAGGCAGCAGUGGGGAAUUUUGGACAAUGGGGGAAACCCUGAUCCAGCCAUCCCGCGUGUGCGAUGAAGGCCUUCGGGUUGUAAAGCACUUUUGGCAGGAAAGAAACGUCAUGGGCUAAUACCCCGUGAAACUGACGGUACCUGCAGAAUAAGCACCGGCUAACUACGUGCCAGCAGCCGCGGUAAUACGUAGGGUGCAAGCGUUAAUCGGAAUUACUGGGCGUAAAGCGUGCGCAGGCGGUUCGGAAAGAAAGAUGUGAAAUCCCAGAGCUUAACUUUGGAACUGCAUUUUUAACUACCGAGCUAGAGUGUGUCAGAGGGAGGUGGAAUUCCGCGUGUAGCAGUGAAAU